GCGCCCGUAGCUCAGCUGGAUAGAGCGCCGGACUUCGAAUCCGUAGGUCGCAGGUUCGAAUCCUGCCGGGCGCA
rnacentral:tRNA from 1 species